AUGACUCCUCCCACAUGGUAUACUGGCGCCAAAGAUGUCGAUGAAGCCAGAGAGGCGAUAUUCAGAAUUCUUCAAAACAAGGGAGAAGCAAGGGUCAUCUAUUUUCAUGGCUGGAGUGGGCUUGGGGCAUCUACCGUUCUUAGAUCCAUAGCAGAAGUUAUCCCUUCUAAGAGAACCACUCCGGAACUAUGCUUUGAUAAAAUAAUUCAUAUAGAUUGCUCGGAGUGGAAAGGUAGGAGGACGUUGCAGAGGGCAAUUGCAGAGGAGCUACAGCUUGACAGCUCGAUAAUGGCUAUACUGGAUAAACAGGACAUAGAUGAUGAUUUUAAUGGAGUUAAUGAAAUUUCAAGGGAUGAGAUAAUAACAGUGUCAAGAGAGAUCUAUCACAAUCUGAAGGACAAUAGGUUUAUGCUGAUUUUCCAUUCCCGGGGUGAUGAUGAGAUUGAUUUUUUCCCUCUUGGUGUUCCUUCAUUUGGUAAGUUCACAGAGAACAUAAUGAUAUGGACCUACAGAAGGAGGAUAUUGACCAUAACAGAACAUGAAGAACAUAAAGUAAUACAAAAACUGAGGUACACCCAUCUUUUGGCUUAUGAUAGAGAAAAGUAUUUAACAAGUGGAGAGUUGUAUGCACUACUCUGUAAAGAGACUGCCCUCAUAGUUGAUGACUAUCCAUGCAUGCGGGGACUCAAUCCAAUGAUGGUUGCUGACUGUUAUGUUUACACACUAUUCCUGCAACGUAGUUUUCACAACAAGACCAGUUCCGAUUGGGUUGGUGUUGCUUCCAAUUGUUGGAUAUGUGAUGGGAUACUGCAGAAAGACAUAACAUUAGAGAUAUGUGACACGUUGCACCGAGAUAUAAGCUGGGAGUGUGAUGAUAAUGUGCUCACAAAGUUCAAGAAAGAUUCCAAGCUUCCUUUCCUGGUUGUUAAAGAAGAUGGUGUAUAUGAAGAAGGACAAUACCGUUGGAUUUCAACCAGGUCAAGGGAUAGGGAAAUACAUGGUAUGAAAUGUUUACCUGAAGAGACAUCUUCAUUCUUCUUGGAAUUUGUAAUGUCCGAUCGGCCAGUAGCAUUACCAGAUGGUUUGUUUGAACAUUCCAACAACCUUGGUGUGCUAUUCCUCUGCUGUUGUGCCUUCAAUUUUGCAUCACCUCCUUUCUUGAAAUGCCAUAGCCUAAGAUUCCUUGGGCUGGACAACUGCACAGAUGGAAAAACAGGUGAAGGAAAGGAACAUACUGGGUGGGUUUGUCUGCAUAGCUUGUGGGUGUUGGAUCUACGUUACACUGACUGGAAUGAAAUCUUAUCACCGGCAAAGAUGCAUCUCAUGGAUAACCUCAUGGAGUUAAGCAUAGAGGGAGUCUGGUCUUGGAAAUACACAGCUUGCUUACAAGGCCAGUUACCAAAUCUUCAAAGGCUCAGGGUAAUCAAGCCAAAACGUGGACCAGAUAUUUCAAUAGAUCCAAGAAACUCCUUCAUGGACAAGACAAAGUUGGAAAUACUUGACUUAUCUGGCAACACUGAGAUGAAAAUUCUGCCAAACAGCCUAUCAACGGCAAGUAGUCUUCAAGUGCUUAUUCUGGAUGGUUGCAAUGCGCUUCAGAAUAUUGUUGUGCCUGAUGAGCUACCUGAACUGCUGAAGUCCUUCAGCUUUGAUGGAUACGGGCCAGGUUCUCAUCGGACAUCAACUUUCAAGCUACCUCUGAAACAAGAGCGCCCGUUAACCCCAGCAACCGAGGAGGGUGCCAGUAUCUCUAAUAUUUCCCUCAAAGGUUGCUCACAGUUGGGAAAUCUGUUCCUGCGUGGGUUGCCCAACCUCGUCGAGCUUGACCUAUCUGGAACUGCAAUCAAGACUCUUGAUUUUAGAACUAUGGUGUUAGAAGUCCCAAUGCUGAAGCGGCUAUUUCUGCUUGGAUGUGAGCACCUUUGUGCAAUAAUUUGGGGCAACAAUACUAAUAACUUCCGUUUGAAUUUAUUAUGCAUAGACACACGAGCUGGAACUAGCCAUCCUCAGCCAUGCAUUGACCAAAACAAAUCCUAUCAGUUGGAGGCGCAUGUCAUUCUGGUGGAUGCGAGGCUUGCUCGGUCGUUGGGGCGACUAUUACAUAAUCAUUAUGCAGCUGAGAAUCUUUAUCUUAAUAUCCAUGUCACCUCCGCUGUGUAUAGUGAGCUGAAUCAAUCCAAAGUGACUGAAAAGGAGAAGAAUAUUGACAUGUAUGGAGAUCAAGUCAGCCUGCUGGAGCUUGUUCAAGCAGACCGGUACAGUGAUGUCCAAAGCAUGGUUGGUGAUGCCCCUGCUGCAGCCUUUCCUAAGCCUCCGGCUAACAACCUGGAUAGGCAUAUCGAGAUUACAGAAGGGAGGCACGUCUUGGACAGUGGACUGGGAGUUGUAAUGAGAGAGUUUGCCGAAUCCCUGCAUGUCCAUGAUGUCUCAACUAGUGGUAGUUUGCCUAGGGGAUACAGCUGGCAGGUUCUCAGGCAGUGCCGCAUGGAGAGGUGCCCCAAGUUGGGUGAAGUCUUCUCGAGGGGAUCAGAUGAAUUUAAGGAGCUGGAGACCUUCUGGGCGUCUGAUCUCCUAAUGGCCUGCUGGAUAUGCAGUAAAGGUUACCGCAUGAUCAAUGAUGGUUCAUUCAGAAAGCUGCAGCAUCUACGGUUGCGCUCUUGCCCCAGGCUCCAGUUCGUGCUCCCUGUGUGGGUCGACUCCUUCCCAAGUUUGGAGACCCUCCACAUCAUCCACUGCGGAGACCUGAGGCAUGUAUUCGUGCUAAACGACAAAUGGUACCCAGAAGGAAUAUCCAUCCAAGUUGUAGCAUUCCCGAAGUUGACCACCAUCCACCUGCACGACCUGCCAGUGCUGCAGCAGAUCUGCGAGGUCAAGAUGGUGGCACCGAACCUCAAGACCAUCAAGAUCAGAGGGUGUUGGGGCCUGCGCCGGCUGCCGGUGGUGGGGGGCCGUAGCAGAGACAUGAAGAAGCCGACCGUAGAGAUCGAGAAAGAUGUCUGGGAUGCUCUGGAGUGGGACGACGAGGUGGCCCCUGGCCACUUCGAGGCGCCGCUGCACUCACGCUACUACAAGAAGAAACUGCCCAGGGUCUCUGUCCUCAGAUGA
rnacentral:rRNA from 1 species